rnacentral:lncRNA from 1 species
GAUGGUUGCUUUGAUGGUUACUCCAAUGGACCAUCGAUGUCGUUAGAAUAUCUGGUGCUACUGAUUUUUCUAAGUUUAGUACCGCCAUUUGAGCAUCAUGAAUACCACCAUUUCAGCACCAUGAAUACUGAUUUCUCUGGAUUUUCUCCAUCAUUUCGACACUUGAGUACCAUAGAAUAAUCCUAGAUACCAUGGCCUAGUCAAUUGAAUAUCAUAGCUUGGAUACUCGAAUACCAUGAUUUGGAUAUCAAGAAUACUGUCAUUUGGACCUUGCCAUGGUUUGAUUUGCAUUCUUGGGACCUAUAAAAUGUAUAAAACCUACAAGAUACAUGCUAGAAAAGCCAUUAGUCCCAAUGACUAUAUUGUCACUCAAUUAUCAAAUCACAAACAAUGGCCUAAUAUGGCCAUGUUCCUUACACCUAUAGACAAGAAAAACAUAAAAAACACAGUUUAACAUGUGGGACCCAUGCGCCAAUUCUCUCCUUAUCUCUUCCCCACCUCAUUCCAUUCGCUCAUCUCCCCCUUAUACUUUUCCCCUCUCUCUCCCUUAUCCUCCCAUCCCCUCUUUGCUCUACACCUCUGCCAAGAACAACAGCAAAUCGGAGCUGAUGUAACUUUUUUUACUAUAAACUUAAAUAAAAGACAAUCUAUCAAAUGUAGUUGUACUUAAACAACUUUGAAAUCCCAAUCCUAAAUUACAAAAAUCUAAAAAACAUAAACCCAAAACCGAGGUCCCUGAAAACCCAAUAAAUAAAUAUUGGGAAACAAGUUAUGUUGUAUGUCAAAUAAAAACUUGUGUAAAAGACAACAUGGCAACUUUCAUGGAUAAUCUAGUGAUAAAUUUACACAUAAGUUGACAGAAUACUUAUAUAUAACUUGCCAAUAGACAUAAUUAUUAUCAAAACAUAUAUAACAUGGAUACAUUUUAUUAA